rnacentral:rRNA from 1 species
GACAGGCGUAGGCGAUGGACAACAGGUUGAUAUUCCUGUACCACCUCUUUAUCGUUUGAGCAAUGGAGGGACGCAGAAGGAUAGAAGAAGCGUGCGAUUGGUUGUGCACGUCCAAGCAGUUAGGCUGAUAAGUAGGCAAAUCCGCUUAUCGUGAAGGCUGAGCUGUGAUGGGGAAGCUCCUUAUGGAGCGAAGUCUUUGAUUCCCCGCUGCCAAGAAAAGCUUCUAGCGAGAUAAAAGGUGCCUGUACCGCAAACCGACACAGGUAGGCGAGGAGAGAAUCCUAAGGUGUGCGAGAGAACUCUGGUUAAGGAACUCGGCAAAAUGACCCCGUAACUUCGGGAGAAGGGGUGCUUUCUUAACGGAAAGCCGCAGUGAAUAGGCCCAAGCGACUGUUUAGCAAAAACACAGCUCUCUGCGAAGCCGUAAGGCGAAGUAUAGGGGGUGACACCUGCCCGGUGCUGGAAGGUUAAGGAGAGGGGUUAGCGUAAGCGAAGCUCUGAACUGAAGCCCCAGUAAACGGCGGCCGUAACUAUAACGGUCCUAAGGUAGCGAAAUUCCUUGUCGGGUAAGUUCCGACCCGCACGAAAGGUGUAACGAUUUGGGCACUGUCUCAACCAGAGACUCGGUGAAAUUAUAGUACCUGUGAAGAUGCAGGUUACCCGCGACAGGACGGAAAGACCCCGUGGAGCUUUACUGUAGCCUGAUAUUGAAUUUUGGUACAGUUUGUACAGGAUAGGCGGGAGCCUUUGAAACCGGAGCGCUAGCUUCGGUGGAGGCGCUGGUGGGAUACCGCCCUGACUGUAUUGAAAUUCUAACCUACGGGUCUUAUCGACCCGGGAGACAGUGUCAGGUGGGCAGUUUGACUGGGGCGGUCGCCUCCUAAAGUGUAACGGAGGCGCCCAAAGGUUCCCUCAGAAUGGUUGGAAAUCAUUCGUAGAGUGCAAAGGCAUAAGGGAGCUUGACUGCGAGACCUACAAGUCGAGCAGGGACGAAAGUCGGGCUUAGUGAUCCGGUGGUUCCGCAUGGAAGGGCCAUCGCUCAACGGAUAAAAGCUACCCCGGGGAUAACAGGCUUAUCUCCCCCAAGAGUCCACAUCGACGGGGAGGUUUGGCACCUCGAUGUCGGCUCAUCGCAUCCUGGGGCUGUAGUCGGUCCCAAGGGUUGGGCUGUUCGCCCAUUAAAGCGGUACGCGAGCUGGGUUCAGAACGUCGUGAGACAGUUCGGUCCCUAUCCGUCGUGGGCGUAGGAAAUUUGAGAGGAGCUGUCCUUAGUACGAGAGGACCGGGAUGGACGCACCGCUGGUGUACCAGUUGUUCUGCCAAGGGCAUAGCUGGGUAGCUAUGUGCGGAAGGGAUAAGUGCUGAAAGCAUCUAAGCAUGAAGCCCCCUCAAGAUGAGAUUUCCCAUAGCGUAAGCUAGUAAGAUCCCUGAAAGAUGAUCAGGUUGAUAGGUUCGAGGUGGAAGCAUGGUGACAUGUGGAGCUGACGAAUACUAAUAGAUCGAGGACUUAACC